GUCACGUCACGCGGGAACUGUAAGGACGGUUCGCGUCGUGUGACCUCCACGCGGCGGCGAUAGCAAACCCCCCUCGUCUCUAGCCAAUGGCAUGGAGAGCUCACCAGCACAACUAAUCAUGGAGACUCAAGACCGCAAACACGCUCCAGCAUGGAGUACUCACGAGGUGGUGGAUCUUAUUGCUGUCUGGGGAGAAGAGUCUGUGCAGGCAGAGCUCCAGUCCAGCUGAAGAAAUGCAUCUAUGCCAAGAUUGUGCAGGGUAUGGGGGAGAAGGGCUACACAAGGAACACGCAGCAGUGCCACUUGAAAAUGAAGAAGUGUACCAGAAGACAAGGGAGGCAAACAGUUGUUCUGGUUCUGCCCCACAGACAUGCCACUUUUAUGAGGAGCUGCAUGUGAUUCUCAACGGCAACCACACAACUACCCCAAAACGCUCAGUGGAUACCUUCCAGGAGUCCUGGGCGACGUCGAGCAACAAUGAGGAGGACAUUGUUGACAAGGCAGAGGAGGAGAAUGUAAGGUAGGCAAGUGGAAGAUCCAUUCUCCCUGCCAGCCAAGAACUGUUUUUAACCCUGGAGCCCAUCCCUUCACAGGACCAAUUGGCGGCGGAGCAUGAUGCCGGGGAAGGCUCCUCUGCUGAAACCUUGUCCACCAAUGCAUCCUCCACACUGGGACAGAGACUUUCCCAGAUUAGAAGGCAGAAAAAGAAGACUCGGGAGGACAAGUUCAAUGAGUUAAUGCGUGCCUCCAAGAGUGACAAGACGGAGCUCAGAGCAUGGAGGAUUAUACUGUCUGAGAACCUGGACAUGGACAGGGAGGACAGGAGAGCAUGCAGGGAACAAGAGCGUGCCACAUAGGAAGAGAUGCUGCGGAUUAUGAAGGAACAAUCAGACAUGUUGAGGCAUCUGGUUGAGGUUCAAGAAAGGCAGCUGGAUGCGAGAGUCCCUCUGCAGCCUAUGCUGAACCUGCUGCCAUCAUCACCCAGUUCUACAUCCUCCUCUCCCAAACGUCCUAUAAGGCGGGAGGGAAGUUCGGUAUCCCUUGCACUCAACACCAGGGGAGGGUACAAGGACCAGAAAGCACGCAUUCCCACACCUUUGAUUGUUAUUGCAGUUCAUCUAUAAGCAAGCUUUCCUUGUUUCUCCCCCCCCCCCCCCCGCCAGUGUUACCAGCCCUUUUGCCUCAGAAUAUCUUACUUUUCUUUGCUGUCUCUGUGUGUUUGUGUGCAUAAUAAAACUUAAUGGA